rnacentral:rRNA from 1 species
AACGAACGCUGGCGGCAUGCCUAACACAUGCAAGUCGAACGAGACCUUCGGGUCUAGUGGCGCACGGGUGCGUAACGCGUGGGAACCUGCACGUAGGUUCGGAAUAACUCCCCGAAAGGGGUGCUAAUACCGGAUAAUGUCUUCGGACCAAAGAUUUAUCGCCUUUGGAUGGGCCCGCGUUGGAUUAGCUAGUUGGUAGGGUAAAAGCCUACCAAGGCGACGAUCCAUAGCUGGUCUGAGAGGAUGAUCAGCCACACUGGGACUGAGACACGGCCCAGACUCCUACGCGAGGGAGGAGUGGGGAAUAUUGGAAAAUGGGCGAAAGUCUGAUCCAGCCAUGCCGCGUAAGUGAUGAAGGCCUUAGGGUUGUAAAGCUCUUUUAGCCGGGAUGAUAAUGACAGUACCGGGAGAAUAAGCUCCGGCUAACUCCGUG